rnacentral:snoRNA from 15 species
UUCCAGUGAUGAUACCCAAAAGGUUUCGCAUGUAUCCGAUUAAGAUGACGAUAAACCUUGGCUGUCUGAGCGA